GGUACCGAAGUUAAAUCAGGAACAGAUAAACCAGUUAAACAACCCCAUAACUCCUAAGGAAAUAGAAGCAGUCAUUAAAGGUCUCCCAACCAAAAAGAGCCCAGGUCCAGACGGGUUUAGUGCAGAAUUCUAUCAGACCUUCAUAGAAGACCUCAUACCAAUAUUAUCCAAACUAUUCCACAAAAUUGAAACAGAUGGAUCACUCCCGAAUUCCUUCUAUGAAGCCACAAUUACUCUUAUACCUAAACCACACAAAGACCCAACAAAGAAAGAGAA
rnacentral:lncRNA from 1 species